UGUAUAGCAUUAGCUAAUUGCACCAACACAUAGUUGAUGCAAUAUCGACUUAGUCGAAUAAAAUUCUAGGUAGAAUUAUGAUAAUGACAUUGUUUGCCUAUGAGUCUUGACUAAAUUACGUGCCAGCAGUCGCGGUAAUACGUAGAAGACUAGUGUUAUUCAUCUUUAAUAGGUUUAAAGGGUACCUAGACGGUAAAUCAAGCCUUAAACGGGACUAAUUUACUAGAGUUACUUGUGAGGGGGCACUAAAGUACUGCUGGUGUAGAGAUGAAAUUCUGGAAUACCUUUUUUCGAGAGAAAAAGAAUGGCACAGGUAUAGGCGAAAGCAUCCCCUUAUGUGAUAACUGACGUUGAAGGACGAAGGCUUUGAGAAGCGAACAGGAUUAGAUACCCUGAUAGUCGAAGCAGUAAAUGAUGAAUGUCAUAGAUUAGACAUUAGUUUAUUCUAUAAAUGAAAGUGUAAGCAUUCCACCUCAAGAGUAAUUUGGCAACAUUGGAACUGAAAUCAUUAGACCGUUUCUGAAACCAGUAGUGAAGUAUGUUGUUUAAUUUGAUAAUCCGCAAAAAACCUUACCACAAUUUGAAUAUUUAUAUCUGUUUCUCCGCUAGGCCAUUUUUUAAUUUUUCUUUUUUUUCUUAUAUGGAAAAAGGGGAAAGGAGGAAAAAUAAAAAAUGGGAGAGAGGAAAAAAGAUAUUUUUACAAGCGUUGCACGGCUGUCUUCAGUUAAUGUCGUGAGAUUUUGGUUAGCUCCAUUAAAUUAACGUAAACCCUUACUAUAUUUUUACAUAUAGUAGUUCUCCAUCAUAUUGGAUAAGAUAACAGGGAGUAAGACA
rnacentral:rRNA from 1 species